AUCUACUGGGGAUGGGGGGCGACGGAGGAGAGGGGCAUGGUGCUCCACGAGGCCGCGGCGGAGGCUGCCUCCUUCGUUCCGCCGAGGCUGGAGGACGCUGGGCUCAAGGACUGCGCGCCCUUGGGGGGGAUUCCGUAAUGGAGGCCUUCGCCCGAGCCGCCGUCUCCCCACUUCCCACCCGCAUCGGGGAGGACGACAUCGACGAGGGCCACGGAGAGGCCCUCCGACGAAGACGACGGUGUAUUAGUCCUUGGCUGGGAGGCUUACGAUUUGGAAGGGUAGAAGAACGAGGAGGCUUCCGAUUUCUUCCGAUCUGGAAGAAAUAGAUACCGCCUGAUCUGGCUUCUAAUUCUGUUCGUCGAAAGGUGGAGUUGGUUUUUUCAAACAUGGUCAGGAGGGUGGAACAGCAUGACCAAAUGGGUUCUGAAAGCCUCUGCGAGUAUGAAGCACAGCGGCAAAAACAGCAGUUCGGAUUAUGAAUAGUUCUUGUUUGUCGGUGCGCCCUUACAGAUCUGUUCAAAGAAGUGUCUCACAAGGCUGCAGCUGUUUCUGGUUGUCAGGAUAAGAGGACCACAAGAAUUCAGGGGAUUGGACAACCCAAAAUAUGUGCUCAGGAACUUGGGACUUAAUGUAGAAACGAUGUUGCAUCAAAAUGGUAUAUGUUAAAGAAGGACAAUUAACAUGCAGUGUUCAUCCCAACCUUCUGAUUUAGUAUUAUAAUUGAGAAAUACUUUAUGAAUGUGAUGUCUUUUGUUUUUCUUUUUAAUUUGCAGGGCCACUUGAUGCAUUAUACCUCACCUGAGAAGACCGUCACAUUAAGUGAAAGAGCAACAGGCACAUAAAGCAUCGUGAUGAUGAUUCGAAGCCUUGACCUGAAGCAAGGAACUGGCAUUCGAGGCCAUCUGAUUAUCUGGUUGGGUGUGUGUGAUUAAGGUGUGCGGUUAGAGGGACUGAAGCAUGACAAACAAGCCUUGCUGCCUUAGGUGAGAUCAGAAACAGUGACUCCUAGGCAUAAUGUGAUAGGCUAUCGUGGGAGAAUUUCAUGGUGUGCUAUGGUCUUUGACUCUCUCUCUCUUUCUUUUUUUUUUGUGUGUGUUUUUUGAUGUUUUCAAGUUUUUUCUCAUUUGUAAUAUUCACAGGGUGUGCAUUGUCGACACUAAUUUUGCUUUUGACAUUGUUUUUGUAUUCUGUUUCUAUUUAGU